CCAACUGGGCAGAGGGAUCCUCCUCAGAUCAUCCCUGGUUGAGCUCCUCUGUGUGUGGCUGAGAGUCCUGCCCCAGGCUGUAAGCAGGAACAGAAAAUGGAGGAUCAGCAGAAAGAGUGGGAAGGAAAAGCUUUUGCUGGGGAGGAAGAAGAGAGAAAGCUUCUCUCUGCUUUGAGAAACCCUGUGUGUUUCAGAUGGGGACAUCUGGGUUGUCCACACUCCAGCUGGUGCCAGCUGCCUUCAGGGGCACAGUGAGGCUGCUCCCUGCACGCCAGGCUUCUGCUUCUCUCCGCCUUGGCAGUACCUGAAGGACACUAAAGGAUGAAUGGAAGUGACUGCACACACUCCUGGCAUGCUCCACCUCCUUCCUCGCUUUACACUCCUUGGCUUCUCAUUUAUUUUUUGCAUGAGCUCAUUUAUUUUGGGUGGAAAGACAUGCCCUGGAGCUGGCAGAAGUGCUCAUGUUACUCUCUGUGCCCUGCUGUGCCAGAACUAGUGACAGCAACACCAAUCCAAACUGCCUGCUUUGACCAGCAACCCCUCCUGCUUCCAGUACUGACAGUGGCAAGGUCAACCAUAGUCUCCUGUUUUAACUAGCAUCUCCUCUUGUUCUACCUCCCAAAACACAGAUUGUAUGUGAGCCCCACAUCUCCCUCUAGAGUGGCUCAGAUCAGCAUCCCUGGUCACUCAGGUUGGGCAGGAAUGUCACACCACCUGCUAGGUACAUAUUUGUUACCAGUCACCCCAGCUACAGCCCCAUUGCCAGGCAAUCUCCUCACCUGCAGCACCUCUAGACCUGUGUUGACUGAUGGCAUCUACUGCCAGAGCCCACCACUGGAAGAUGUGAGCAUCAGAGCUGGAUGCACUGCUAGAAGUGGAGGAUUUGAGCUGUGGCUGAUAGUCCUGCAGAAGAGAUCCUCCUUAAGUGGUGCAUUCAGGUUUGGGCUGCCCAGUUUGACAGGGUCCAACUGAGGGCUAUGAGGAUGAUGAGGGGACUGGAACACUGCCUGACAAGGAGAGGCUGAGUGACCUGAGGCUGCUUAGUCUGGAGAAGAGAAGACUGAGGGGAUUUAAUGUCUAUAAAAAUGAGGGCUGGAGGUCAGGUUGGGGGAUCAGGCUCUGCUCCCUGGGAUAGGACAAGCAGCAAUGGAUGGAAGCUGCAGCACAGGAGGUUCCAGCUCAACACAAGGGGAACUUCUUGACAGGAAGGGUCCCAGAGCACUGGCACAGGCUGCCCAGAGAGGUUGUGGAGUUUCUUUCUCUGGAGCCUUUCAAGGCCUGUCUGGAUGUGUUGUUGUGUGACCUGGGCUGGAUUGUGUGGUCCUGCUCUGGCAGGGGGUUGGACUGGAUGUCUUUGAGUCUCUUCCAACCCUUGACAUCCUGAGAGUCCAUCUCAAGCUUGGUGGUCCUCCCUACACAGACAAUUUGAGUUUGUUUUUUGGUCUUGCAAGCAUCUCCAUAGCUGGAACAAAAGGAUGAGGAAGUAGAGAACAAGGGAGGUAGAGAAGAAAGGGAAGCUGGAGAGAAGCAGGCAGUGAAGAAGGGUGACCUGGAGAGAAACCAGCAGGAAAGAGGGAUCCAUAGAGAAGCAGGCAGAGAGAGCAGUAAGCCAAAUCACUGAGGCAGGAGUGAGAUUUCUCCCCUGGAAUUGGGAACAGCAGCUCCAAGUAGUCACUGUCUGCACCUGAUGCAAAUCUGUUUGCUGGGGGAUGUUGGGAGCAAAGAGCAGAACGCUCCUGAUUUCACAGGUUUGUCUCAUGAACUGGAGCCUCCAAACCAGAAAGAUUGCAAGAAAAACAAAAAGCAGAGGGGGGAAGGAAAGCAAACAACUAAACCAAACUGAUGUAAACAUCAUCAGCCUUGGUGUGGGGGGGGAGCACUGCCCUGGGAGAGGUGGGAGGGCAGGCAGCAUGGCCCAGCCAGAAUGCUUUAAAAGCCUUCCUGUGCUAUGGCAUUUGUUCUUCAAACACAUUAAGGCUUGUGCAAUAAAUACAUAAAUAAGGCCCUGCCAUUUACCUCUGCCUCUGCCACGUUAAUGGUUGCAGUUUUGGCUCAUUAAAAAUUGAAACGCCCAACACUUGCAGCAGCUGCCAAACCUGCUGCUCCCUCCCCUCCUGCCUCACUCUCCAUUCCUCCUGGAUGCUUUCUCCUUUGGCAUUCCCUUUCCAGCCUUCCCUGCUUCUGUCUGGUGCUUCCCAGUCCUCUCCCCUCCCUGCAGUGCUCCCCUCAGCUUCUCUUGCCCGUUGCUCCUCUGCCAGAGCUCAGCUCAAGGGGAGCAGUUGAUAAUCGGUGGCUUUAAUAUUCUCCCCUCGCUGUUCUCCUCUUCCGUGGGACUUGGAGAAUUAGCAAAUGUAUUUAGCUAGGUACACGGGAGAGCAAAGGCAACAAAGCAAGCAGCAGGGCUUUUCUAACGAGGAAUGACUAAUUUGACCCAGGAGAGCCUGUCCUCUUCCAAGCACUCAAUUUUUCCCCGGGUUUUGCAUCCAAAGCUAACAUUGGCAGUGCCAGCAGUGACUCUGGGGCACCUGCCAGCCUGCAGCUACCACGGGUGCUGUGCUCCCUGCCCUGCCAGCUCCAGCUUUGCUUUACCUGCUCUCUCAGAUGUGACACAAGCCACUGCAGCCAAAGCUGGCAGCCAGGGGGAUUUGGAGAAGCUGCUGCUUGUCUGCUGAUGGCUCUGCUCAGGGCUUCUGUGCACUGAGGAGUUCAAGUCCUGAAAAGCAUCCUUCCCAAGGCUAAGUUGGAUUAAGACCAAGCUCCUUGCAGCUUUUCCAUGGCUUUGAGCAGCUUCUAACUGCUCAUGGACAAGGAAGGAAACACCAAGGGGUUGUCUCAAGUCUGUGCCCAUGACAAAUGCCUCAGCACAAGCUUUGCAAGUGCUGUCAGCAAUCAUCACAUGCUGUGGGUGCAGACAGAGCUCAGCUGGGGUUGGAAUCCUUGGGACAUGCAACUUAGUUGCAGUGGGCUUACACAACAGCCCCAAGAGAAGA